rnacentral:sRNA from 1 species
ACCCCGGUAUUAUUGCUGUUAUGGGUUUGAAUCGAGCUUAGCCUUGUUCAUUUUUUUACACAACACCCCCGUAAAAAAUACAACACGGCCCGCUCAAGCCUGCGGUACCGGAGGUAGCUGAAGACGGAAAAACGCCCUGUUUUGCCGCGAAAGUGCCGUGCAAGCGCUUUAUUAGGGCGU